UACAGAGGGUGCGAGCGUUGUCCGGAAUCACUGGGCGUAAAGGGCGCGUAGGCGGCUCAGUAAGGUUGCGGUGAAAGCCCGGGGCUCAACCCCGGGUCGGCCGUGGCAACUGCUGGGCUGGAGUACUGUAGAGGCAGGUGGAAUUCCGGGUGUAGCGGUGGAAUGCGUAGAGAUCCGGAAGAACACCGGUGGCGAAGGCGGCCUGCUGGGCAGUAGCUGAUGCUGAGGAACGAAAGCCAGGGGAGCAAACGGG
rnacentral:rRNA from 1 species